rnacentral:rRNA from 1 species
AGCAUUAUGAAAAUAUAUAAAGUGAAACCUGCCCGGUGAAUUUUUAACGGCCGCAGUACUUUGACUGUGCUAAGGUAGCAUAAUAAUUUGACUUUUAAUUGAAGCCUUGUAUGAAAGGAAUAAUGGGUAGUCGCUGUCUCUAAGAAAUUUUUUUAAAGUUACUUAAAAGGUGAAAAUGCCUUUAAAUAUUUAAUAGACGAGAAGACCCUAGGAGUUUAUUAUAGGUAAUAUAUAUUUUGUUGGGGCGACAUUAUAGCAGUAUAUAACCUAUAAAUUUAUUUCUACUUAACGAAAAAUUUUAAUUAAGAUUAAACUACCCUAGGGAUAACAGCAUAAUUUUUUAAAAAUGUUUGUGACCUCGAUGUUGGAUUAGGGAAUUUUAAUAUUAACAGUAUUAAAAUAAGGUUCUGUUCGAACCCUUGUCCCUACAU